rnacentral:lncRNA from 1 species
CUGGGCUAGAAAAGGCCACGGACCUUCCACCAGUUUCUCUAGGUAGAGCUCCGGCUGUCCCUGUCUCUCAGCCACAGUACCAGACACGUGAGAAUGAAAGUUUUUGGCAUAACUACUGCUUCAACUAGCCUCUAACUACAACCUUGUGACAUCUGAAGUUAGUCCCCCCAGCAAUGACUGACUUAGUUCUGUGGCUUCUCAGUUUGAAUUGCUUGGUUGCUAUGCUCUCAUCUAUGAUUGUCGCCAGAGGCUGAGACUGACAUUGUCCAGGAAGAUCACUGCAGCAUCAAUAGCCAUGUAUUUCUUAUAAAAGAGGUCAAAUUGAUGAAGGACUGUGACUGCAUGGGACAAGGAGGGCUGCUGUGAAAGGCACAGACAAUUUUUACGUGCCAGCUUUCCUUAUAUUUGUCUGUUUCGUUAAUCAUGCGUCCAACCCAGAUCUCGCAGAUGUUGGAAGUGCAUGAGGAACAAAGGAUGGAGAAGCAGCUUGGAGGGGCAGGUUGAACUUCACCCAAGCACUCACUCUCCCAGGACUACAGUGUUGACAUGAGGAAGCCACCCGCUGUGCACUUGAGUCUUCGCAGUCUCCUGGGGUGAGUCCGCAAGCUGGAGACCCAGAUGCUGAUGGAUUAGUUCCAGUCUAAGUCCAAAGGCCUGAGAACCAAGAGAACUGAGACCUAAGAAAAGC